rnacentral:rRNA from 1 species
CUUCUUUUUUGUGGAGAGUUUGAUCCUGGCUCAGGAUGAACGCUGGCGGCGUGCUUAACACAUGCAAGUCGAACGGAAAGGC